UUAUCCUACGGGAGGCAGCAGUGGGGAAUAUUGCACAAUGGGGGAAACCCUGAUGCAGCGACGCCGCGUGAUCGAAUGAAGGCCUUCGGGUUGUAAAGAUCUGUUGACAGGGACGAAUAAGCAAUGCGAAUAGUUUUGUGUAUGACGGUACCUGUUUAGAAAGCUCCGGCUAACUACGUGCCAGCAGCCGCGGUAAUACGUAGGGAGCAAGCGUUGUCCGGAAUUACUGGGCGUAAAGGGCGCGUAGGUGGGCGCUUAAGUCAGGUGUGAAAACUCCGGGCUCAACCUGGAGACUGCACUUGAAA
rnacentral:rRNA from 1 species